UGAUGAACGCUAGCUACAGGCUUAACACAUGCAAGUCGAGGCUUAGCAUGGUCUUAGCUUGCUAAGGCCGAUGGCGACCGGCGCACGGGUGAGUAACACGUAUCCAACCUGCCGUCUACUCUUGGACAGCCUUCUGAAAGGAAGAUUAAUACAAGAUGGCAUCAUGAGUCCGCAUGUUCACAUGAUUAAAGGUAUUCCGGUAGACGAUGGGGAUGCGUUCCAUUAGAUAGUAGGCGGGGUAACGGCCCACCUAGUCUUCGAUGGAUAGGGGUUCUGAGAGGAAGGUCCCCCACAUUGGAACUGAGACACGGUCCAAACUCCUACGGGAGGCAGCAGUGAGGAAUAUUGGUCAAUGGGCGAGAGCCUGAACCAGCCAAGUAGCGUGAAGGAUGACUGCCCUAUGGGUUGUAAACUUCUUUUAUAAAGGAAUAAAGUCGGGUAUGCAUACCCGUUUGCAUGUACUUUAUGAAUAAGGAUCGGCUAACUCCGUGCCAGCAGCCGCGGUAAUACGGAGGAUCCGAGCGUUAUCCGGAUUUAUUGGGUUUAAAGGGAGCGUAGAUGGAUGUUUAAGUCAGUUGUGAAAGUUUGCGGCUCAACCGUAAAAUUGCAGUUGAUACUGGAUAUCUUGAGUGCAGUUGAGGCAGGCGGAAUUCGUGGUGUAGCGGUGAAAUGCUUAGAUAUCACGAAGAACUCCGAUUGCGAAGGCAGCCUGCUAAGCUGCAACUGACAUUGAGGCUCGAAAGUGUGGGUAUCAAACAGGAUUAGAUACCCUGGUAGUCCACACGGUAAACGAUGAAUACUCGCUGUUUGCGAUAUACAGCAAGCGGCCAAGCGAAAGCGUUAAGUAUUCCACCUGGGGAGUACGCCGGCAACGGUGAAACUCAAAGGAAUUGACGGGGGCCCGCACAAGCGGAGGAACAUGUGGUUUAAUUCGAUGAUACGCGAGGAACCUUACCCGGGCUUAAAUUGCAGAUGAAUUACGGUGAAAGCCGUAAGCCGCAAGGCAUCUGUGAAGGUGCUGCAUGGUUGUCGUCAGCUCGUGCCGUGAGGUGUCGGCUUAAGUGCCAUAACGAGCGCAACCCUUGUUGUCAGUUACUAACAGGUUCCGCUGAGGACUCUGACAAGACUGCCAUCGUAAGAUGUGAGGAAGGUGGGGAUGACGUCAAAUCAGCACGGCCCUUACGUCCGGGGCUACACACGUGUUACAAUGGGGGGUACAGAGGGCCGCUACCACGCGAGUGGAUGCCAAUCCCAAAAACCUCUCUCAGUUCGGACUGGAGUCUGCAACCCGACUCCACGAAGCUGGAUUCGCUAGUAAUCGCGCAUCAGCCACGGCGCGGUGAAUACGUUCCCGGGCCUUGUACACACCGCCCGUCAAGCCAUGGGAGCCGGGGGUACCUGAAGUGCGUAACCGCGAGGAGCGCCCUAGGGUAAAA
rnacentral:rRNA from 1 species